rnacentral:rRNA from 1 species
AUCGAACGCUGGCGGCAGGCCUAACACAUGCAAGUCGAGCGGAUGACGGGAGCUUGCUCCUCGAUUCAGCGGCGGACGGGUGAGUAAUACCUAGGAAUCUGCCUGAUAGUGGGGGACAACGUUUCGAAAGGAACGCUAAUACCGCAUACGUCCUACGGGAGAAAGCAGGGGACCUUCGGGCCCUGCGCUAUCAGAUGAGCCUAGGUCGGAUUAGCUAGUUGGUGAGGUAAUGGCUCACCAAGGCGACGAUCCGUAACUGGUCUGAGAGGAUGAUCAGUCACACUGGAACUGCGACACGGUCCAGACUCCUACGGGAGACAGAAGUGGGGAAUAUUGGACAAUGGGCGAAAGCCUGAUCCAGCCAUGCCGCGUGUGUGAAGAAGGUCUUCGGAUUGUAAAGCACUUUAAGUUGGGAGGAAGGGCAGUAAGCUAAUACCUUGCUGUUUUGACGUUACCGACAGAAUAAGCACCAGCUAACUCUGUGCCAGCCGCCGCAGUAACAC